rnacentral:rRNA from 1 species
AGAGUUUGAUCCUGGCUCAGAUUGAACGCUGGCGGCAUGCUUUACACAUGCAAGUCGAACGGCAGCGCGGGGCAACCUGGCGGCGAGUGGCGAACGGGUGAGUAAUACAUCGGAACGUACCCAGAAGUGGGGGAUAACGUAGCGAAAGUUACGCUAAUACCGCAUACGUUCUACGGAAGAAAGUGGGGGAUCGCAAGACCUCAUGCUUUUGGAGCGGCCGAUGUCUGAUUAGCUAGUUGGCGAGGUAAAGGCUCACCAAGGCGACGAUCAGUAGCUGGUCUGAGAGGACGACCAGCCACACUGGGACUGAGACACGGCCCAGACUCCUACGGGAGGCAGCAGUGGGGAAUUUUGGACAAUGGGCGCAAGCCUGAUCCAGCAAUGCCGCGUGAGUGAAGAAGGCCUUCGGGUUGUAAAGCUCUUUUGUCAGGGAAGAAACGGCUGGGGCUAAUACCUCUGGCUAAUGACGGUACCUGAAGAAUAAGCACCGGCUAACUACGUGCCAGCAGCCGCGGUAAUACGUAGGGUGCGAGCGUUAAUCGGAUUUACUGGGCGUAAAGCGUGCGUAGGCGGCCAAUUAAGUCAAAUGUGAAAUCCCCGAGCUUAACUUGGGAAUUGCAUUCGAUACUGGUUGGCUAGAGUAUGGGAGAGGAUGGUAGAAUUCCAGGUGUAGCGGUGAAAUGCGUAGAGAUCUGGAGGAAUACCGAUGGCGAAGGCAGCCAUCUGGCCUAAUACUGACGCUGAGGUACGAAAGCAUGGGGAGCAAACAGGAUUAGAUACCCUGGUAGUCCAUGCCGUAAACGAUGUCAACUAGUUGUCGGGUCUUAAUUGACUUGGUAACGCAGCUAACGCGUGAAGUUGACCGCCUGGGGAGUACGGUCGCAAGAUUAAAACUCAAAGGAAUUGACGGGGACCCGCACAAGCGGUGGAUGAUGUGGAUUAAUUCGAUGCAACGCGAAAAACCUUACCUACCCUUGACAUGGCAGGAAUCCUUGAGAGAUCAGGGAGUGCUCGAAAGAGAACCUGCACACAGGUGCUGCAUGGCUGUCGUCAGCUCGUGUCGUGAGAUGUUGGGUUAAGUCCCGCAACGAGCGCAACCCUUGUCAUUAGUUGCUACGAAAGGGCACUCUAAUGAGACUGCCGGUGACAAACCGGAGGAAGGUGGGGAUGACGUCAAGUCCUCAUGGCCCUCAUGGGUAGGGCUUCACACGUCAUACAAUGGUACAUACAGAGGGCCGCCAACCCGCGAGGGGGAGCUAAUCCCAGAAAGUGUAUCGUAGUCCGGAUUGCAGUCUGCAACUCGACUGCGUGAAGUUGGAAUCGCUAGUAAUCGCGGAUCAGCAUGCCGCGGUGAAUACGUUCCCGGGUCUUGUACACACCGCCCGUCACACCAUGGGAGCGGGUUUUACCAGAAGUAGGUAGCUUAACCGUAAGGAGGGCGCUUACCACGGUAGGAUUCGUGACUGGGGUGAAGUCGUAACAAGGUAACC